GCGAUGAAGCGGGAGGUUGCCGCACAGUGUGCGGGUUUUUCCGUGGAGUAUGUCCGAUUUUAAACCGGGCGACA
rnacentral:ncRNA from 1 species